AUCGAUCCCGAGGUGAAAAGCAACUUCGGUUUUCUCGAAGUAAAACUUUACUCCCGCCCUUCAUCAAGGGAAAAAGGCGAGGAGUUUACCCUCGUCCACCACCAGCACGAUGCAGUCGAGUAAUGGCGACUUCCGAUUCAAGUUUACCCUCAUCUGAGUGUCUGUUUGAGUGUUCGAGGCUCUAGAUAUUUUCCCAUUCAAGUCGUUGGCGACGUCUACAUUCGAUAUGAGAGUUUGUGUAUCUAAAUCUGCAUCAAUAGCCAAGUAAUAGACGCUGAUGCUGGUCUGCGUCGAUCUGAGUUUACCCUCUCCAGUCCACUCAUUCUAGUGCUGAUCUGCAACUAUCUCUCUCCGACAGGCGACAGCUUUCUCUCUGACAUUUCUCUCUCCAGUGGCUUUCUCUUUCCAAUGGCUAUCUCUCUUCUGCGAACUGUGAUCAAUAAUCCAAAGACACAAAAUCAUUGUAAUAGCUUUGGAGGCUCAGUGUCAGUACACGUGGACGGAACCCCACUAGUUGAAUGGUUUAGGUGAAGUCAUUUGCCAGCCAAUGACUUCAGUUUCAGCUUCAAAAGUGCUGGUGACGUCUGUUCACCAGCACUUCAGCCAGACAACUGGACACUGAUGUCAUGGGCUCAUGGCCCACUUUUGAAUGAAUUCAACAUCGACAGUAUUGGAAAUUUGAGAGACGUCACCAGCACUUUUGAGUGUACAUAUAUGCCAUGUACACCUUUGAAAAUUUGAAAUUUUAGAAGUGUUGGACCAGUUGAAUUAUGACUCGGGCCCUUUGCCGGUUUGGUUACACCCAAUAACUGUAGUUGCUAAAAGUUGCUAAAAACUAAAUGAAAACCGAUUGACUGGCCAAUUUAAUUGGAAAACCGGUGAACUAGUCUUGGUUUCAUGAAACUGCUUGGGCAGUUGGGCCUUUGAAUAAUUGAAAUUUUAAAAGUGUCGUGACUUUUUAUUUUCA